rnacentral:rRNA from 1 species
UACAGAGGUCUCAAGCGUUGUUCGGAUUCAUUGGGCGUAAAGGGUGCGUAGGCGGCGCGGUAAGUCGGGUGUGAAAUCUCGGAGCUUAACUCCGAAACUGCAUUCGAUACUGCCGUGCUUGAGGACUGGAGAGGAGACUGGAAUUUACGGUGUAGCGGUGAAAUGCGUAGAUAUCGUAAGGAAGACCAGUGGCGAAGGCGGGGUCUCUGGACAGUUCCUGACGCUGAGGCACGAAGGUCAGGGGGAGCAAAACGGG